UGUAUUGUGCUAAUUUUAAGUGGAUAAUAAUAUGAGAAAGGCAAUAUAUCUGUAACUUGAUCCGCGCUGAAUAGAAUGAUAAGUGGUGGCCAAAAAUAAGAGAAGUAAAUAAAUAAUUCGUCUCAAAUCCACUUCGGUUCACUAAAAAAAUUGAGCAAGAGGCGGGGCCGCAGGAGAUCCAUUUCUUCUUUUGAUCUGCCCUAAUCAGCCAAGAAUUCGCAAAAAAAACCUGCUCUUGCCCCGAAUGGGAUGGUAAAUGAGAACUAAAAACAGAAGAAAAAUUAACACGUCCCUAAUCCGCCAAAAAAUUCAGGCGUGAGGUGAGAGAUGUUCAAGAGUAUGUAUAUAUGUAGUAGGGCUACUAUACUCUUAUAAGUAUAAAACUCUUCGUACUCAUAAGUUGUUUUCGAUAUUGGGGUUUUCAAAUUGACGAUCCACACAGUUAAAUAUAAUCUAGAGUAUUUGAAACUUUUAGAAAAUAAAUUUCGUAAUUUUCCAAAUCAUUAUAAAGUCCAUCAAACGGGUAUAAAAUGAACGGUUAAAAUCGAACGACAUCCUAAAAAUAGAUGCUCGGAUCCUUCAAUUGUAGAUCCGAGUUAUUAAUCUUUAUUUAGUUAGUGAAUAGAAUUUUCUAUCAAAAAUUCAAUCUAUUCCGAUUCUUUUACACCGUUAAACUAGCAAAUAUUUCAUACCGGUCGUUAAAAAUUGUUAAUUUUGCGAGCUUUUGAUCGUAUGGUAAAUGAUAUCGAAAAAUUGAAAAAUUAUAAAAUUUGAUUUCUAAAAGUUUUAAAUUCUCUAGAUAAUAUAUAACGGUAUGGAUCGUCGAUUUAGAAGCUCUAUCAUAGAAAACAACUUAUGAGUAGGAAGGCGAUCGUACUCAUAAGAGUAUAGUAGCCGGACUCUAUAUAUAUAUAUAUAUAUAGAGAGAGAGAGAGAGAGAGAGAGGGUUGAGCUAGAACACUUCUAAAAGUAUCAAGAGGAUGGUGCUUGUGAGUUUUUAGCCCUUGGUUAGAGAAAUGUAGGGUUGGGAUGAUAGUGGUAGGUGAAAUAGUGUUUGAUCCAAGGGUUAUUAGUAAUCAAGGAGUAGAUCCAAGGGCUAAAAACCUAAUAGCACCAAAAGGGUAAUACUUGUAAAAGUAUUCUAGCUCAAUUCUAUAUAUAUAUAUAUAUAUAUAUAUAUAUAU
rnacentral:lncRNA from 1 species